CGAUGCAAACUGCGAAUACCGGAGAAUGUUAUCACGGGAGACACACGGCGGGUGCUAACGUCCGUCGUGAAGAGGGAAACAACCCAGACCGCCAGCUAAGGUCCCAAAGUCAUGGUUAAGUGGGAAACGAUGUGGGAAGGCCCAGACAGCCAGGAUGUUGGCUUAGAAGCAGCCAUCAUUUAAAGAAAGCGUAAUAGCUCACUGGUCGAGUCGGCCUGCGCGGAAGAUGUAACGGGGCUAAACCAUGCACCGAAGCUGCGGCAGCGACACUGUGUGUUGUUGGGUAGGGGAGCGUUCUGUAAGCCUGUGAAGGUGGCCUGUGAGGGUUGCUGGAGGUAUCAGAAGUGCGAAUGCUGACAUAAGUAACGAUAAAGCGGGUGAAAAGCCCGCUCGCCGGAAGACCAAGGGUUCCUGUCCAACGUUAAUCGGGGCAGGGUGAGUCGACCCCUAAGGCGAGGCCGAAAGGCGUAGUCGAUGGGAAACGGGUUAAUAUUCCCGUACUUGGUGUUACUGCGAAGGGGGGACGGAGAAGGCUAUGUUGGCCGGGCGACGGUUGUCCCGGUUUAAGCGUGUAGGUGUGUGUUCCAGGUAAAUCCGGUU
rnacentral:rRNA from 1 species